UGAGGUAAUACCAGAAGCCUAUAAAUAGGUUGCCCGGAUACAGAGCGGGCGCGCUUCUUCCUAGUCAGGGCGAUGGCCGUGACGCUGCCCGGAGUAAAAGAACAAGGAUGGAUUUUGCAUUCUUUUUGAGAUUGAACCAAAAUCUACUAAGAUGAAUUUCCAGAGUCUUCGAAUUGGACUUUGUCAAAUUUUAAACUUUGAGGAAAGCAGAGGAGAGAGCCGAUCCUGGCAGAAAGGGGAAGUCGCCACUUUUACUUUCUCCUCAUGGCCAGACCUUUCCUCUUUUUUAAACAGAAUUCGGAUUUUGGAACAAAGGAGAGCCGAUCACUCGACUUGUUCAACCAAAUAGGAUUUUAGACCUUUAGUCUCCUCUCUUGUUCUGUCUGGCUAGACUUAGCUGCGCCAGGCCUGAUGACAAUCCCCCGGAGCCCCACUUCUAGUGAGGAUGAGAUGGCCCAGAGCUUUUCUGAUUAUUCUGAUGACUGCGCCUCUGAAAGCUUCCAUGAAGAAACCAUUUAUGAAACUAUUAGGGCCAGCGCUGAGCCUUCACCAUACCACAUAGACGACAUUCACAUAAACUCACAGGUGAUCCGCAUUAUCAUCCCUGACCUGCAGCAGACGAAAUGUAUGCGUUUCAACCCCAACGCCACAGUCUGGGUUGCCAAGCAGCGGAUCCUGUGCACACUCAAUCAGAGCCUGAAGGAUGUGCUCAACUAUGGCGUUUUCCAGCCUGCCAAUGGUGGAAGAGAUGGCAAGUUUCUUGAUGAAGAACAUUACCUCAGAGAGUACCCUCAGCCAAUCAGUAAAGGUGUUCCGUGU